AUACGGAGGGGACUAGCGUUGUUCGGAAUUACUGGGCGUAAAGCGUACGUAGGCGGAUCGGAAAGUAUAGGGUGAAAUCCCAGGGCUUAACCCUGGAACUGCCUUAUAAACUCCCGGUCUUGAGUUCGAGAGGGGUGAGUGGAAUUCCGAGUGUAGAGGUGAAAUUCGUAGAUAUUCGGAGGAACACCAGUGGCGAAGGCGGCUCACUGGCUCGAUACUGACGCUGAGGUACGAAAGUGUGGGGAGCGAACAGGAUUAGAAACCCCAGUAGUCC
rnacentral:rRNA from 1 species